rnacentral:rRNA from 1 species
CAGCCGCCACGGGAACACGUAGGGUGCAAGCGUUAAUCGGAAUUACUGGGCGUAAAGCGUGCGCAGGCGGUUAUAUAAGUCAGAUGUGAAAUCCCCGGGCUCAACCUGGGAACUGCAUUUGAGACUGUAUGGCUAGAGUGUGUCAGAGGGGGGUAGAAUUCCACGUGUAGCAGUGAAAUGCGUAGAUAUGUGGAGGAAUACCGAUGGCGAAGGCAGCCCCCUGGGAUAACACUGACGCUCAUGCACGAAAGCGUGGGGAGCAAACAGGACUAGAUACCCCUGUAGUCCCUGUCUCUUAUAC